ACUCAAUAGAUACCCUGGUAGUCCACGCCCUAAACGAUGCAUAUUUGGUGUGGGUCAUUCAGUUGAUCCGUGCCGGAGCUAACGCGUUAAAUAUGCCGCCUGGGGAGUACAGUCGCAAGGCUGAAACUCAAAGGAAUUGACGGGGGCCCGCACAAGCGGUGGAGCAUGUGGUUCAAUUCGACGCAACGCGAAGAACCUUACCUGGGCUCGAACGGCCGGUUAACGACGGUGGAAACACUGUUAUCCCGCAAGGGAGUCCGGUCGAGGUGCUGCAUGGCUGUCGUCAGCUCGUGUCGUGAGAUGUUGGGUUAAGUCCCGCAACGAGCGCAACCCUCGUCCUGUCGUUGCCAUGGGAGCAAUCCCGGAACUCGCAGGAGACCGCCAGCGAUAAGUUGGAGGAAGGUGGGGAUGACGUCAAGUCCUCAUGGCCUUUAUGUCCAGGGCUACACACGUGCUACAAUGGCCGGUACAAAGCGCUGCAAACCCGCGAGAGGGAGCCAAUCGCAGAAAACCGGUCUCAGUUCGGAUUGCA
rnacentral:rRNA from 1 species